rnacentral:rRNA from 1 species
UACGGAGGGUGCAAGCGUUGUUCGGAAUCAUUGGGCGUAAAGCGCGUGUAGGCGGCUUUUUAAGUUUGGUGUGAAAGCCCGGGGCUUAACCCCGGAAGUGCACUGAAUACUGAUUAGCUAGAGGGUGAGAGAGGAUAGUGGAAUUCCUGGUGUAGGGGUGAAAUCCGUAGAUAUCAGGAGGAACAUCUGUGGCGAAGGCGGCUAUUUGGCUCACUUCUGACGCUGAGACGCGAAAGCGUGGGGAGCAAACAGG